ACCCAGGCUGUCACCUGAAAGCAUGGAUAGCCAAGCCUCAUCACGGCAGGAACCCUGUUUUGCUGCGCGGCUUACCGCAUAGUGUGGAGCGUUCCUGGCAACUCUACCCCUGUACCGGCCAGACAACCAUCACAGCUGAGUCUGGGCAGAACAUCUCGCUGCCAUGUCAAGUUCCAGCUAAUAAUGAGCAGGUCUUGGCUGUUCAGUGGAGCAGAGCUGACCUGAAGCAAGAGUAUGCCCUUUUGUACAGAGAUGAGGUUUUUGUUCCAGACAACCAGCAUCCAGCUUUUAAGAACCGGGUGGAUCUGCAGGACAGACAGAUGAAGGAUGGAGACGUGUCUUUGAUUCUGAAGAAUGUGACAUUUAACGACACUGGAACAUACGAGUGUCGCAUCUUCAGGAGAGGAACAAACCACAGGAUUAGUACCAUCACCUUGAGUGUUGUUCCUCCAGGUCCACCACAAGGACACACAGCAGACAGAGAGGAGGAGGGUGGAGUCAGCAGAGGACACUUUGGACUGGCAGCUGCUGUUGUUGUUGCUUAUCUAAUCAUCAUUGCUGUGAUGGCUGCUGUUUUGAUCUCCCGUUAAUUGAUAUACGUCUAUAUGGGUGAAUGAGACAUGUUGUAUAAAGUGCUUUGAGUGCUCCAGGAGAGUAGAAAAGCGCUAUAUAAGAAUAAGUCCAUUUACCAUCAUUUACACCAGCAGCACCACCAGCACUGGACUCCCUGUCAGAGCGGUGAAUGUUGUCCAGGAUAAAGACAAUGUUGGAUAAUACCUCCCACCAAUGUUCCCUCUAAGCUGCGCAAUUGCGCA